GGAUGUUGUGAACCGGGUCGCGGCGGCCGAGGCUCGGGCCUCCAGGACCACUGGCUGCCCAUGAGAGACGAAGGAUGGCAUCCAAGGGGGCCGGCGUGUCUUUCUCCCGCAAGAGCUGUAGGCUGACCUCAGAUGCUGAGAAAUCCAGGGUCACAGGGACCCGCUGCAGCUGGGAGGGGAGCUGUCCAGGAGGCCGGCCUGGGAAUGAGCACAGGCCUGCGGCUGGCAGAGAGCCGGGUCGAGCCAGCCCUGGAGAAGCAGGCCCAGCUGGAGGAGCAGCUGCGGGACAAGGUGCUCCACGAGAAGGACCUGUCCCAGCAGCAGAUGCAAAGCGACCUGGACAAGGCUGACCUCAGUGCCAGGAGGGUCCCUGGUGGGUGCUGCAUGAGGCAGGCGUCACUGCAGAAGAGUGACAGAGCUGGGCCUGGCAGUGAAGCGUCUACAGAAGCAGAAUCUGGAGAAGGAUCAGGUCGACAAGGACCUCACCGAGAAGCUUGAGGCCCUGGAAUCCCUGCGGCUACAGGAGCAGGCGGCCCUGGAGACAGAGGAUGGAGAGGGGCUACAGCGGAGCCUAAGGGACCUGGCACAGGCCGUCCUGUCUGACGCUGAGAGCGGCAGCCUGCGUCCAACAGCGUCCGACCGCAGCCUGCGGGGGCUCUCGGGCCAGCGGACCCCGUCUCCACCGCGGCGCUCCUCGCCGGGCCGAGGCCGUUCGCCCCGCAGAGGCCCCUCCCCGGCCUGCUCAGAAGACUCCACGCUCGCUUGCCCUGAUUCUCUCCGCCCUGCACUUUUGCCAGCUGAAGGUCCAGGGAGAAGAGCAACCUGGUCCACAGCCUGCAGGUGGCCCAGCAGCAGGCCGAGGAGCUGCCGCAGGAGCGGGAGAAGCUGCAGGUUGCCCAGGAGGAGCUGCAGCGCCAGCGGGACCGGCUGGAGGAAGAGCAGGAAGAGGCGGUGCAGAAUGGCGCACGGGUUCGCCGGGAGCUUGAGCGCAGCCAUAGACAACUAGAGCAGCUGGAAGGGAAGCGCUCAGUCCUGGCCAAGGAGCUGGUGGAGGUGAGGGAGGCGCUGAGCCGCGCCACGCUGCAACGGGACAUGCUGCAGGCCGAGAAGACCGAGGUGGCCGAGGCGCUGACCAAGGGUGAGGCUGGCCGCAUGGAGCUCGAGCUCUCCGUGACCAAGCUGAGGGCAGAGGAGGCCUCCCUGCAGGACUCCCUGUCCAAGCUGAGCGCCCUCAACGAGAGCCUUGCUCAGGACAAGUUGGAUCUGAACUGCCUUGUCACCCAGCUGGAGGAAGAAAAGGCCAUGCUGCAGGGCCGGCAGCGGCAGGCGGAGCAGGAGGCCACAGUGGCGCCGGCAGAGCAGGAGUGGCUGGAGGAGCUGUGGUUGGAGCAGGAGGUGGCACGGCAGGGCCUGGAGGGCUCCCUAUGAGUGGCGGAGCAGGCCCAGGAGGCGCUGGAGCAACAGCUCCCCACACUGCACCAUGAGCUCAGUUGGCUGCAGGAGCAGCUAGCACAGGUAGGCCAAACUGUGUGUGGGGUGGUCUGGAGAGCAUGUGGGGCAGGCCAGGCUCGCAGCCUCCUGCAUCCAGUCCUGGGUUAAGUCACAGGCACUGGAGCCUGCUUCUGGGUUAAAUCCAGUCCCACUUCUCCUAGCUGGGGACCUUGGACAAGCUGCCCAACCUCCCAUACCUCAGUUGCCCCAUUUAUAACAUGGGGCUAGCCGGGUGCAGUGGCUCACGCCUAUAAUCCCAGCAGUUGGGGAAGCCGAGGCGGGUGGAUCACCUGAGGUCCGGAGAUCAAGACCAUCCUGGCUAACACGGUGAAACCCUAUCUCUACAAAAAAUUAGCUGGGUGUGGUGGCACGCGCCUGUAGUCCCAGCUACUCAGGAGGCUGAGGCAGGAGAAUCGCUUGA
rnacentral:lncRNA from 1 species